UACCAGCUCUCCGAGCGGUAGGGAUGAUUAUUGGGCUUAAAGCGUCCGUAGCCGGCUUAGCAAGUUUCCUGUUAAAUUCAGCGACCUAAUCGUUGAGCCGCGGGAAAUACUACUAGGCUAGGAGGCGGGAGAGGUCGACGGUACUUCUGGGGUAGGGGUGAAAUCCUAUAAUCCCGGGAGGACCACCAGUGGCGAAGGCUGUCGACUAGAACGCGCUCGACGGUGAGGGACGAAAGCUGGGGGAGCGAACCGGAUUAGAUACCCGGGUAGUCCCAGCUGUAAACGAUGCGGGCUAGGUGUUGGGGUGGCUACGUGCCACUUCAGUGCCGCAGGGAAGCCAUUAAGCCCGCCGCCUGGGGAGUACGGCCGCAAGGCUGAAACUUAAAGGAAUUGGCGGGGGAGCACCACAAGGCGUGAAGCUUGCGGUUC
rnacentral:rRNA from 1 species